rnacentral:rRNA from 1 species
GAUGAACGCUGGCGGCGUGCUUAACACAUGCAAGUCGAGCGAUGAAGUUUCCUUCGGGAAACGGAUUAGCGGCGGACGGGUGAGUAACACGUGGGUAACCUGCCUCAUAGAGUGGAAUAGCCUUCCGAAAGGAAGAUUAAUACCGCAUAAUGUUGAAAGAUGGCAUAAUCAUUUAACCAAAGGAGCAAUCUGCUAUGAGAUGGACCCGCGGCGCAUUAGCUAGUUGGUGGGGUAACGGCCUACCAAGGUGACGAUGCGUAGCCGACCUGAGAGGGUGAUCGGCCACAUUGGGACUGAGACACGGCCCAGACUCCUACGGGAGGCAGCAGUGGGGAAUAUUGCACAAUGGGGGAAACCCUGAUGCAGCAACGCCGCGUGAGUGAUGAAGGUUUUCGGAUCGUAAAGCUCUGUCUUUGGGGAAGAUAAUGACGGUACCCAAGGAGGAAGCCACGGCUAACUACGUGCCAGCCGCCGCGGUAA